UGCACGAUGGCGCAGUUGGUAGCACUGCUGCAUUAGAGAAGGUUCUGGGUUCGACUCCCAGCCGAGGGUCUUUCUGCAU